CCUACGGGUGGCUGCAGUGGGGAAUAUUGCACAAUGGGCGCAAGCCUGAUGCAGCCAUGCCGCGUGUGUGAAGAAGGCCUUCGGGUUGUAAAGCACUUUCAGCGGGGAGGAAGGCGGUGAGGUUAAUAACCUCAUCGAUUGACGUUACCCGCAGAAGAAGCACCGGCUAACUCCGUGCCAGCAGCCGCGGUAAUACGGAGGGUGCAAGCGUUAAUCGGAAUUACUGGGCGUAAAGCGCACGCAGGCGGUCUGACAAGUCGGAUGUGAAAUCCCCGGGCUCAACCUGGGAACUGCAUUCGAAACUGGCAGGCUAGAGUCUUGUAGAGGGGGGUAGAAUUCCAGGUGUAGCGGUGAAAUGCGUAGAGAUCUGGAGGAAUACCGGUGGCGAAGGCGGCCCCCUGGACAAAGACUGACGCUCAGGUGCGAAAGCGUGGGGAGCAAACAGGAUUAGAUACCCGGGUAGUC
rnacentral:rRNA from 1 species